rnacentral:rRNA from 1 species
AUUGAACGCUGGCGGCAGGCCUAACACAUGCAAGUCGAGCGGGGUUUUCGGACCUAGCGGCGGACGGGUGAGUAAUGCGUAGGAAGCUACCCGAUAGAGGGGGAUACCAGUUGGAAACGACUGUUAAUACCGCAUAAUGUCUACGGACCAAAGUGUGGGACCUUCGGGCCACAUGCUAUCGGAUGCGCCUACGUGGGAUUAGCUAGUUGGUGAGGGAAUGGCGUACCAAGGCGACGAUCCCUAGCUGGUUUGAGAGGAUGAUCAGCCACACUGGAACUGAGAACCGGUCCAGAGCCCUACGGGAGGAAGCAGUGGGGAAUAUUGGACAAUGGGCGCAAGCCUGAUCCAGCCAUGCCGCGUGUGUGAAGAAGGCCUUCGGGUUGUAAAGCACUUUCAGUAGGGAGGAAGCGUUGUGUGUUAAUAGUACACAGCGUUGACGUUACCUACAGAAGAAGCACCGGCUAACUCUGUGCCAGCCGCCGCGGUAAGAC